UUGGAGAAGUUUGAUCCUGGCUCAGAACGAACGCUGGCGGCAGGCUUAACACAUGCAAGUCGAACGCCCCGCAAGGGGAGUGGCAGACGGGUGAGUAACGCGUGGGAACAUACCCUUUCCUGCGGAAUAGCUCCGGGAAACUGGAAUUAAUACCGCAUACGCCCUACGGGGGAAAGAUUUAUCGGGGAAGGAUUGGCCCGCGUUGGAUUAGCUAGUUGGUGGGGUAAAGGCCUACCAAGGCGACGAUCCAUAGCUGGUCUGAGAGGAUGAUCAGCCACAUUGGGACUGAGACACGGCCCAAACUCCUACGGGAGGCAGCAGUGGGGAAUAUUGGACAAUGGGCGCAAGCCUGAUCCAGCCAUGCCGCGUGAGUGAUGAAGGCCUUAGGUUUAAAGCUCUUUCACCGGAGAAGAUAAGACG
rnacentral:rRNA from 1 species